rnacentral:misc_RNA from 1 species
AGCCAUAUAAACGCAGCACUCCGGCAUCGUUCACUUGGAUGCACGCACCCACACCGGCGGUUAUUCAAUUCCUGCUUCCCUCUGUAGUUUAAUGUACAAUCCGGCGCUACCGAACCACUACCGCGACGUCGUCUUUGCCGCUUAUGUCCGCCGGCGCCAACGUGAGGAGGCGGCGGCGGCGCAGCAGCAGCGGCAGCCGAACGCGCUCGCCUCGGCGCUCUCUGCGUCGUCGCUCGCCGCACCGUCCAUGGCAUCCGUGAAUGCGCCACUGCUGGGCCUCUCGGCAGAGGAGCUUCACCAGCACCGCAUUAAGGAGAGUGCGGCCCUCGGCAUCCAGCGGGCGGUGAUGAUGGAGAAGGAGGCCCUCGAGGUGGAGCACAAGCAGCGCCGGCUCGAGGGACGCGAUGCCCGAUCUCGCAUCAGCAGUCGCCUCGACAAGCUCAAAGCGCUGGCGGCGAAGUCAAAGGCGGCGACAGGUGUGUCGGCCUCCGUUGACGCUGGUGGCGCUGUUUUGCAACCAGACGACCCGUCAUCGCCAACGUCGUCGCCGUUCGACGCCGAAGCAGCACCGUCCGCUCCGCUCAUGUUCCAGCGCUCCUCCCUUGCGGCGGGCGGGUAUGUCAUGACCGCGGCCGACCCAUCCCUCCCGGGCAUGCUGCUGCGCACCAACACACGGUCUGCCGUUCAAGGAAAGCCAAGCUCCACGCUCCUCCUGCGCUUCCUUCACGAUAGCCCCGUGCUGGGGUGGAACAAAGCCGCCAUCGCAGAGGCCUCUACCUUUUCCUCGGCGGAGUCGUCCUUGUGCGUGCCGGUGUUGACGCAGGUGCAACAGCUAUGUCGCCGGUUUGGAUUUGUGCGCAGCAUGGCCGCACGUGUCUAUGCCGAGGAUGUCGUCACCGCAGCACUCGCACGCGCACGUUCACAGACCAGCGUGGAGACCCAAGUGCCGUCUGCCGAGGAGGUGCGGCGGGAGCAGUUGCGCGUGUGGGUGCGCUUCGACAGCGUCACGGAGGCCUUCAAGGCAGCUGAGAGUCUCGCGAAGGAGGUGCCGCCUGCCACACCCGCUGGCCCACCUGUGUUCGCGGUGGCUUUCUACCCGACUGGCCUCUACGACUCGGACGCGCUGGAGCUGCGUGAGGAGGACCUGCUGGCCCCGGCUGCGUGAAGAGAAGGAGAAUAGAGCGGCAAAGGAGAGAGAUGCUGUGCGCAGAGAAAGAGGGAAGUGUGUGCUUGUGUCGUCUUCUCAUCUUCCACCGCUUCCUUGCGCAACCCGCUCCCGUCUUGAUAGUUACAGAACACGUGGCUCUCGCUCCUACUCUGCUAUGCCGUACCUUUCAUCGCGCUUUAUCGCCUCCCUCUCGCGCAGAGACCUACGCACCCUCUCUUGCUCCGGCGGCUUCAUGAACCCUCGCCUGUCCGUCCGUGAGCUGCACCUCCACACCAACCAGCGAAGACGAGAAGGGAUGGUACACUGCUACCCGGGUGCCAUACGCUUUUGUCCUACCUUUGCAUUACCUUACCUUCUGCACGAUCGUUGACCUCGCGAUCGACACCACUGGCGCUGACACCAUCGACCACUGCCAACCGAUCGUGUGCGUGCGCUUCGCCAUGCGUUCUUUGCUCACCCUUGCUAUUCUGAUGCCCCCGGUGACGACGCAGUGUGAGGGGGAAGGGGCGCACCUCGGUGCGUGGCAUCCAGGGCCCACUCCCCACGCUGUGCGAGAGCAGGCCAGGCAGCCCCCGCGGCCCUUUUUGCCCCUGCCAAUGCCGAGCCGCCGCUUCUGGUGGUGGCAGGGUGAGGCGCCUACAGCGUAGGGUGCGGUGAGAGCGACUCACCGCUGCCGAUGUCGGCGGUGAGGUCCUGGAUGGCGCCGCGUCGGAGCGGCCUGUCACGGUGGGCACGCUUGUGCCAUCCAUGUGGCGGGCAGAGUGCCGGCGUGACGGGAACGCAUCUCACCGGGCCCCCCACACGGCCCACUGGUGGUGGGGCGCCUGGGCCACCCCGACGAGGAUGCACCACGUGGCGAUCGCCACAAUGGGGUGGCGGGGUGGGGGGAGCGGCUGUGAGGAGACGUGCGAGGCGUGUGGUGCGUAGAAGGUGACGCAGGGGCCGUGCUCAGGUGACCGAGUCGGCGCGCUGCUGGAGCACGUGCCCCCCCUCGCUGCUUCGCACCACGCGAUGGGGGCCUGUGACGGUGCGGGGGGAGGGGGAGGGAGGCCGAGCAGAGUCUGAGCGCGCGCUGCAUGGUCGCCACGCUACACGUAAAAAUAAAUGCGGGAAUGCGUAACACAAAAUCUACUCGGAUUGCCGGAGUUGACCGAUGCUGUGGACCGCACACACGCACGCGCCCCGCGCACGCACUCGGCGCCAUCGCCGACCCCUCCCUCCCGCUGCCUGAUCCACUGCUAUGCACGUCUUCGGCUCUUUCUACCCUCAUGUCUUUUGUUCGGUGUCUUUGUGGUUGCUGGGAUGGUGAUUGUGGAACACGUUCACGCACAUACACACGUACGUGUGGGUAUGUGCACAUGGGUAUAAACUCGGGCCUGUCGUGAUUUGAUCGCUUUAUAG